rnacentral:rRNA from 1 species
CCUGGUUGAUCCUACGAGUAGUCAUAUGCUUGUCUCAACAAUUAUGUCAUGCAUGUAUAAGUAUGAACAAAUUCAGAAUGUGAAACUGCAAAUGUCUCAUUAAAUCAGUUAUAUUUUGUUUGAUGGUAUCUAAUACUCGGAUAACAACAGUAAUUCUAAAGCUAAUACGUGCAAAAAAACCCAAAAUCUAGAAGGGACUCAUUUAUUAGAUAAAAGAUCGAUGCGGGCUCUGCCCAUUGCUGAGAUGAUUCAUGAUAACUCGAUCGAUCACAUAGCCAUCGUACCGGCGAUGUAUCAUUCAAAUUUUUGCCUUAUCAACUUUCAAUGGUAAGAUAGUGGCCUACCAUGGUGGUGACGGGUGACGAGAAUUAGACUUCAAUUUCGGAUAAGAAGCCUGUGAAACGGCUACCACAUCCAAGAAAGGAAGCAGGUGCGCAAAUUACCCAAUCCUGACACGGUGAGGUAGUGACAAUAAAUAACAAUAUAGGGCUCAAAGAGUCUUAUAAUUGGAAUGAGUACAAUCUAAAUCCCUUAACGAGGAUCCAUUGGAAGGAAAGUCUUGUGCCAGCAACUUUGGUAAUUCCAGCUUCAAUAGCAUAGAUUUAACUUGUUACAGUUAAAAAGCUUGUAGUUGGAUUUUGGGAUGGGCCGGCCGGUCCGCCUAUGGUGUGCACCGAUCGUCUUGUCCCUUCUGUCAGUGAUGUACUCCUGGCCUUAACUGGAUGGGUCGUGCCUCAGGUUUUGUUACUUUGAUGAAAUUAGAGUGGUCAAAGCAAUCCUACGCUGAGUAUAAAUUAGCAUGGGAUAACAUUAUAGGAUUUAGAUCCUACUAUGUUGGCCUUCGGGAUCGGAGUAAUGAUUAACAGGGACGAUUGGGGGCAUUCGUAUUUCAUAGUUAGAGGUGAAAUUCUUAGAUUUAUGAAAGACAAACAACAACAAAAUCAUUUUACCAGGAUGUUUUCAUUAAUCAAGAACGAAUGUUAGGGGCUCAAAGACGAUUAGGUACCAUCCUAGUCUCAACCAUAAAUGAUGCUGAUCAGGGAUUGGCGGAUGUUACUUUUAGGACUCUGCAUGCACCUUAUGAGAAAUGAAAAUUUUUGGGUUCUGGGGGGAGUAUGGUCGCAAGUUUGAAACUUAAAGGGAAUGACGGAAGGGCACCACAAGGAGUGGAGUCUGCGGCUAAAAUUGACUCAACACAAGGAAACUUACCAGGUCCAGACAUAGUAAGGAUUGACAAACUGAGAGCUAUUUCUUGAUUCUAUGGGUGGUGGUGUAUGGCCGUUCUUAUUUGGUGGAAAGAUUUGUCUGGUUAAUUCCAUUAACAAAUGAGAGCUCAACCUGCUAACUAGCUAUGUGGAGGUAUCCCUUAGCGGCCAGCUUCUUAGAGGGACUACGGCCUUUUAGGCUGUGGAAGUUUGAUGUAAUAACAAGUAUGUGAUGCCCUUAGAUGUUCUGGGCCGCAUGCACGCUACACUGCUGUAUUAAACUAGUUUAUAGCCUUGGCUGACAGGUCUUGUUAAUCUUUGAAAUUUAAUCGUGAUGAGGAUACAUCAUUGCAGUUGUUGGUCUUCAACGAGAAAUUCCUAGUAAGCGCGACUCAUUAGCUUGCGUUGACUACAUCCCUUCCCUUUGUACACACCGUCCAUCACUCCUACCAAUUGUAUGAUCAGGUGAAAUAUUCGGAUAGUGGAGACGUGGGUGGUUCGCUACCCAUGAGAUCGCGAUAAGUCUAUUGAACCUUAUCAUUUAGUAGAAGGAGUAGUCGUAACUAGGUUUCUAUAGGUGAACCUGCGGAAG